rnacentral:rRNA from 1 species
UGCGUAGAUAUCUGCCUUUUAGUGGAGGAUAACCUGGGGAAACUCAGGCUAAUACUGCAUAAUCUCUACGGAGCAAAGCGGAGGAUCUUCGGACUUCGCGCUAUUAGAUGAGUCUACGUCUGAUUAGCUAGUUGGUGCGGUAACGGCGUACCAAGGCAACGAUCAGUAGCUGGUCUGAGAGGAUGAUCAGCCACACCGGGACUGAGACACGGCCCGGACUCCUACGGGAGGCAGCAGUGGGGAAUAUUGGACAAUGGGCGAAAGCCUGAUCCAGCCAUGCCGCGUGUGUGAAGAAGGCCU